ACUGGUAAAACGAUGCUUGAGCUUAAAGCUAUUCAGUUUUGAAGGAACACAGAAGUUAAGCCUCCAGGGCCGAUGGUACUUGGGGCGCAAGCCCCCGGGAGAGUAGGUCGUCGCCAGAG
rnacentral:rRNA from 1 species